AAUCGUUCGUCUGACUUGGGUAUAGUGGCGAAAGACUAAUCGAACCAUCUAGUAGCUGGUUUCCUCCGAAGUUUCCCUCAGGAUAGCUGGAGCUCACGCGCGAGUUUUAUCGGGUAAAGCAAAUGAUUAGAGGCAUCGGGGGCGUAACGCCCUCGACCUAUUCUCAAACUUUAAAUAGGUAAGAGGGUGCGGCUGCUCCAUUGAGCCGCGCCGUGGAAUCGAGAGCUCCAAGUGGGCCAUUUUUGGUAAGCAGAACUGGCGAUGCGGGAUGAACC
rnacentral:rRNA from 1 species